UACAACCUGAAACCUGAGCUCAUCCCU
rnacentral:piRNA from 1 species